rnacentral:lncRNA from 10 species
GUACAAGGGUGCAGGGCAGGGCUCUGAGGGGCCCAAACCCCAUUUUGCCAACUCGAUUUUCUAGCAUUGAAGGGAGCAAGGGGUCAGGCAUAUGAUGGAGAUGAUACUGAAAUGAUUUAUCCAAAAUCCAUGCAAAUCAAGUUCUUUGGAUAGAGGUGAAGAACUUGGACAUGGCUGUUUCAGGCAGCUGAAGUCAAAGGGAAUAGUAAUUGGGGAAGGGGAAGUGGGCAGAAAGGAUUGUUGGCCAAUAGACCUUCCACUCCAGUAGAGAGGGAGGACUUGGCUCUGAGAACCUCCAUCUGACCUAAGAGGAACCCUCCUCUCCUAUGGCCAUCUCCUCCUCCUGUCCUUUAAGUCUCUUGUGUUUCUUUUUCUCCCUUUUCCCUUUCUUUCCCCUUUCCCUUUAGCAAAUUUCAAUUGUCCUGGGAGAAAAGGUUGCUGUCAUGUCCGAAAGCCCUGUGGAGGCGCUGAAGGAGUUGGUGACAGCUGAGGAAGGGAAGUCGAGGAGCCGGGAGAGGAGAAGGAGGUGGGCACAGGGGAUGGGUAUGAGGUGGUGGCCGGGGAUGGAUAAGAGGUAGUAACCGGGGACGGGUAAGAGGUAGCAACCG